GAUGAACGCUAGCGGCAGGCUUAAUACAUGCAAGUCGUGGGGCAGCAUGAGUAGCAAUACUUGAUGGCGACCGGCAAACGGGUGCGGAACACGUACACAACCUUCCGAUAAGUGGGGAAUAGCCCAGAGAAAUUUGGAUUAAUACCCCGUAACAUAUAGAGUAGGCAUCUUCUUUAUAUUAUAGCUUCGGCGCUUAUUGAUGGGUGUGCGUCUGAUUAGGUAGUUGGCGGGGUAACGGCCCACCAAGCCUACGAUCAGUAGCUGAUGUGGGAGCAUGAGCAGCCACACGGGCACUGAGACACGGGCCCGACUCCUACGGGAGGCAGCAGUAAGGAAUAUUGGACAAUGGGCGAAAGCCUGAUCCAGCCAUGCCGCGUGAAGGAUUAAGGUCCUCUGGAUUGUAAACUUCUUUUAUUUGGGACGAAAAAAGGGAAUUCUUUCCCACUUGACGGUACCAAGUGAAUAAGCACCGGCUAACUCCGUGCCAGCCGCCGCAGUAA
rnacentral:rRNA from 1 species